UGGGGGAUAUUGCACAAUGGGCGAAAGCCUGAUGCAGCGACGCCGCGUGGGGGAUGAAGGCUUUCGGGUUGUAAACCUCUUUCGCUAUCGAACAAGGCCCGCUUAGGGUGGGUUGAGGGUAGGUGGAGAAGAAGCGCCGGCUAACUACGUGCCAGCAGCCGCGGUAAUACGUAGGGCGCGAGCGUUGUCCGGAAUUAUUGGGCGUAAAGGGCUUGUAGGCGGCUUGUUGCGCCUGCUGUGAAAACGCGGGGCUUAACUUCGCGCGUGCAGGGGUACGGGCAGGCUUGAGUGUGGUAGGGGUGACUGGAAUUCCAGGUGUAGCGGUGGAAUGCGCAGAUAUCUGGAGGAACACCGAUGGCGAAGGCAGGUCACUGGGCCAUUACUGACGCUGAGGAGCGAAAGCAUGGGUAGCGAACAGG
rnacentral:rRNA from 1 species